UGGGGGAAGUAUUGCACAAUGGGCGGAAAGACCUGAUGCAGCGACGCCGCGUGAGCGAAGAAGUAUUCGGUAUGUAAAGCUCUAUCAGCAGGGAAGAUAAUGACGGUACCUGACUAAGAAGCAUCGGCUAACUCCGUGCCAGCAGCCGCGGUAAUACGGGGGAGUGCGAGCGUUAUCCGGAUUCAUUGGGUUUAAAGGGUGCGUAGGCGGCCGAGUAAGUCAGCGGUGAAAGACCGGGGCUCAACCCUGGAAGUGCCGUUGAUACUGUUUGGCUGGAAUGAUCCCGCCGCGGGAGGAAUGAGUGGUGUAGCGGUGAAAUGCGUAGAUAUCACUCAGAACACCGAUUGCGAAGGCAUCUCGCGAGGGGUCAAUUGACGCUGAGGCACGAAAGCGUGGGGAUCGAACAGGAUUAGAUACCCUGGUAGU
rnacentral:rRNA from 1 species